AUACAAUACCUAUACUCAGAGUGAAAGGGAGUAACGAAAGUAAUGAAAUGACAAGAUGGAUACACUGAACGAAAACUUCAGUCUUCUAUUGAAUGAUUUGCAAUUCACUUGGCUUUAAAUCUUCAUAUUCCUCAUUUUGAAUGAAUAUAGAAGAAUAUGAUGCGUCUACCAGCUUAUGAAGAAGAAUCAUCCAAUUCUGAACUGAUUUUCAGUUUACAUCCGUAUGACAGUUGGUUGUCAGUUGAGUUAUAAUAACACAUAUGAAUAACAUACAAGUAUUGACAGAUUUUAUUAUCUGCCAUGUUCCAAACAUAAAAUCAUUCAAUUAUCGUCUAAGGUGUCAUUUGGAAAGCGAAUGAUUCAUAGUUCCAAAUCACUCCUGAAAAUCUUCUCUUAGUAUAAAUAUGGCGGCAGUGGUGUGGUUAGUUCUCCCAAAGAUUAGGCUUUUCUCCGUGGUUUUUACGAUGGAUUUUACAGUACAGGUUCCAUAUAAAAGGAUUUUGAUGUGGGGCACAGCAGUCGGCUGAUGUUCGCUUCAGGCAGGCGUUUUGCAGACAAAUUGACAUUUCCUUGUGAUAAUGCUUAACUUGACAAUAAACUAAAUAAAUUUAUGAGUGAAAUCAUCA
rnacentral:lncRNA from 1 species